rnacentral:rRNA from 1 species
UAGGGAAUCUUCGGCAAUGGACGAAAGUCUGACCGAGCAACGCCGCGUGAGUGAAGAAGGUUUUCGGAUCGUAAAACUCUGUUGUUAGAGAAGAACAAGGACGUUAGUAACUGAACGUCCCCUGACGGUAUCUAACCAGAAAGCCACGGCUAACUACGUGCCAGCAGCCGCGGUAAUACGUAGGUGGCAAGCGUUGUCCGGAUUUAUUGGGCGUAAAGCGAGCGCAGGCGGUUUCUUAAGUCUGAUGUGAAAGCCCCCGGCUCAACCGGGGAGGGUCGAUUGGAACCUGGGGAAUUGAGUGCAGUAGAGGGGAGUGGAAUUUCAUGUGUAGGGGGUAAAUGCGUAAGUAAAAUGGGGAAAACCAGUGGGGAAGGCGGCUCUCUGGUCUGUAACUGACGCUGAGGCUCGAAAGCGUGGGGAGCAAACAGG